AGUGAGUGUAUAUUCGGU
rnacentral:snRNA from 1 species